rnacentral:rRNA from 2 species
AGGUGCGAUCAUACCAACACUAAUGCACCAGAUACCAUUUGAACUCCACAGUCAAGCGUGCUUGGGCGAGAGUAGUACUAGGAUGGGUGACCUCCUGGGAAGUCCUUGUGUUGCAUCUU